rnacentral:rRNA from 1 species
AGAGGGUGCGAGCGUUAAUCGGAAUUACUGGGCGUAAAGCGUGCGUAGACGGCUAUCUAAGUCGGGUGUGAAAGCCCAGGGCUCAACCUGGGAAUUGCAUUCGAGACUGAAUAGCUAGGGUACGGUAGAGGGAAGCGGAAUUUCCGGUGUAGCGGUGAAAUGCGUAGAUAUCGGAAGGAACAUCAGUGGCGAAAGCGGCUUCCUGGACCAGUACCGACGUUCAGGCACGAAAGCGUGGGGAGCAAACAGGAUUAGAUACCCUGGUAGUCCACGCCAUAAACGAUGAGGACUAGACGUUGGAGGGGUAAGCCUUUCAGUGUCGUAACUAACGCGCUAAGUCCUCCGCCUGGGGAGUACGGCCGCAAGGUUG